CACGAAACUCGGAAGAAACAUUGUAUAAGUCGUAGGGAUGGGAGUGGAACUCACAGGUAUCUUCUUUUGAUCAAACACUGUUUUGCUUAACUACUUGGUGAGAAAUUGAGUUUGGGUUGAGUCUCCAAUUUUGUCUUGGAACUGUUUUAACUGGAGAGUAAGUCAACUAUAUUUAAGUGAUGGGACAUGGUUGAGCUCUUUCUUCUCUCCUCUUCCCAAGCUUAGACCUAAACUCGUUAACAUUUGCCAUCAUGGUAGGAUCUUGGGGGAUUUUCCUGUCCUCC
rnacentral:lncRNA from 1 species